rnacentral:rRNA from 1 species
AUGUGUUUUACAUUUUAUUCCAGCGUGCUCGUUGGGAGGUCUCUGCUCUACUUCAUGUCUGAUGAUGGGUGCAUCCUAGAGUAUGACUUUGCAGGUCAUGACCUGACUGUUUUCGACCCACCGAACUAUGAGUCCAUCUACGAUGGCCGAUAUAACAUCAUGCUGGCGGAGGACGGUGGACUGGGAGUUAGCCAAAGGAUGGAUCAGCAGCUCAAAUUGUGGACAAGGGUGAUUGAAGGCGCCGAUGCCCGAUGGGUACUGAGCCGGGUCAUUUACUUGCAAAAUUUGCUCCCAGAUGGUGCUCUCGUGGAGCCAGCAAGUUCAUUGUGUGUGUUGGGCUUUGCUGAGGGAGCAAAUGUCCUUUUCAUGACCACGGUUGCUGGCCUAUUCACAAUUGAACUACAAUCAGAGCGGAUGAGGAGGGUGUGUGAUGAUCAUGCCUUAUGUAAUUUGAUUCCAAUUGUUAGCUUCUACACUCCUGUGCCCCGAGGAGAGCAAAAGGAUCCAUCGUUUGAACCCAGUGAGGAUGCGGGUGGUCAGGAGGGAGGAGUGGAGGAGAAGAAAACGGUAGGUCAGGCACAUCAGUUGUUCGACAAUGGGUCCAACAUUAUCAAGGAGGGGGGCUUUGUGGGCGCCUUCGAUUACAUCAGCCAUGACCUCGAGAAUAGGUUAGGAUGCUCUUCCCAAAAGCUGUUAGCCCUGCUGAAGCAAAUAACCUGCAAUUUGUUCAGUGCUCUUUCGGAUCUGCUGUUGUUUGAAUAUGUCCAUAGUUGCUCUGAGCCUAUGACUUUCUGCGGUGAUGUGGUUACCCAGCUAUGA